rnacentral:rRNA from 1 species
CCCUUAGAUGUUCUGGUCCGCACGCGUGCUACACUGAGUGGAUCAGCGGGUCAGCUUGCGCGAAAGCGUUUCCUAAUCUUUAAAUCCGCUCGUUAUGGGGAUUGACGGUUGCAAUUUUCUGUCAUGAACGAGGAAUACCUUGUAAGCGCGGGUCAUCAUCCCGCGCUGAAUACGUCCCUGCCCUUUGUACACACCGCCCGUCGCUCCUACCGAUUGGGUGUGCUGGUGAAAUGUUCGGAUCGGCCGUUUGUCGCGGUUUCCGCGUCAUGUGGCUGAGAAGUUCAUUAAACCCUCCCACCUAGAGGAAGGAGAAGUCGUAACA